CGAGUUGGUGCGAGGUGAUUUAUUCCAGUGGGGAGCCGAUCCCUGUGCAAUAGCUCUCUUUACCAAUGUGUAGGGUGGCAGGGUCUCUCCUUCGCCCCCUCUCCCCUCCCUUCCCAAGGUCCGCAAUGUAAUGUGUAAGCAAUAGCAAAUGUAACAGUUCAUAAAUCAAACAGUGGGUCGCAAGCCAAUCUGCAUUUCCCAAACGAAUUGAAUCCCAGCAACGAAUGUGCUCAGGAACUGGAGCCAGGCGCCUUUACCACUGGAAGCAAUGUUGAUUUUUUAAUGAUAAAAUACAUUAUGCGUGUGUUAGGGGGGCUUUGCAGAGCUCAGCCUCGCUUCGUCAGACACAGGUCUGCUGGAAUUCCGUUUUCUUUUGGCCUCCCGCUAGACUCAGUCCCCACCACCACCAAAGAAAAAGGAAAACCCUGGAGAGCAGAGCUUUGUUUAAAUGGUUUGGGUUAUUUUCCCUCCCCACAGAGGAUAUAGACCUAAAUUGAUUUUUCUGUGCACAUCUCUGUAUUCAUGAGGUCAGGCGCUGCUGUUAUGGUUUCCUGUAGCACGAAAUGACAGAUGCCGAGGAGAGACGGGAGAGAGAGCCCUUGCUGGGGUACGGGGAGCUCCGCAGCCUGUUGGCUACGCCGGCCGGGCUCCGGGGACCCUUGCCGGCGGCAGCCCCGCUCCGCCCCGGGGUGCCCGGGCGCAGGUCCCGCCCGCUGCCGGCAUUCCCGACACCGCCCCCGCCUUCCCGGCUGCUGGACGGUGCCCGUCCGUCGGAGAAAGGUGGAAGGGAGCCUCCCAGCUUUCCCUCUCACCCCUCAGAAGAAAACUGAAACGCCAUAAUAAGGGGGCGAUUUCCAGCUCAUUAGAGGACUCGAGUUAUCUUCGCGUGAGGUUCAAUUACUAAUGGAUAAUCUCUCCGUAAUUAGCACAUCCCCCAAUUAGCCCUCCAUCGAGGAGGAUAAUAAACGGUGGCAAGCCGGGGAAAAACAGCCCAGCGGGUUGAGAAGGAGCCCUGUGGUCUUGCCAGGGCCCCUUCCCUCCCCUCCUGCCUCUCCCUGGACUCUCCUGUCUGGGGCCUCUAAUUGUCGGGUGCCACCGGGCCUCCCGGGCUAGCCUAGCAGCACCCCGGGAUUUCCCGCACAGACAGCAGGAAGUGUACCAAAGCCUGGUCCCGCCGGCUCAGCUCCUCCUGGGCAACCGGCAAGCGAGGCUUUCCCCGAACACUAGCAAUCAACAAACUCCCCCUCACCUUCCCCCGUUCAUUUUAUAAGAGCCCCUCAAUGCGCGAGGCACCGGUUGUUCCCUUUCCUGCCCCUUUCAGGGGUUAUUUCUGAAGCCUGCGAGCAAUAGUCGAUUUUAUUUUUUUUUUUUUUUUGCCCCCAGGGGUGGUUGCUCUGCCUCGCCUUGUUGUGUGGCCAAGGAAACAUAAGCCGUCCGCCAAGUCCCAGAAAGGGACUGAGUGUACUAGAUUUGCCUCCUGCCGCCUUGCACCUGUAGGGUUUGUAAGGGCUGCGGGGGAAGGCUGGGGUGUCGCUUGCCAGGCUGGUCCCACUGCCCCAGGCAGCAGCUGCUGUAGCAAGAGCUGGAAGAGGUUCAAACUUCUGAACAUCCCUUCUUAACUCCUGGGCAAACGUGAGGUGGUGAACUAGAGAGGGGAAAAAAUGCAACAGAAAAGCAUUUAAAUGUUGACAGAGAGCACAGUAAAAUUAUCCCCUACUAAAAAAAAACCCAAAAAACCAAAAAAACACACACACACAAAAGCAUAAAUGCAGAUCAACAGGGGAAAAGCCCAUAGCCGGAACAAAAAAAACAAGCCAGUGCAUUUCUAGCUGGCUGGAUAAUCGGGAAGCCUUGCAGCCAUUGCGGCUCUGCCUGCCCUAAUUCCUGUCCCCAGCUCCGACUGAGCAACCGCAGCCCCGCAGUCCCCGGAGGGCCGCGGGGAGCUGGCUCCUUCCCCGGCAGCGCUGGAUGCACCCGUGCUUGGCAGGCGGCUGCUCACCUCCCGCCUCCCCCUUUUAGCAGCCUGGCUGAGCCCUGGAGGCAGGGCUGCGCCUCGCCCCUGCCUGGGCUGCCCUCUGCCACGGCGAGACCGUGCCAGCACUGGGCUGAGGUGGUGGUGGUCGAUUCUUUUUGCUUUAUAGGAGGGGGAAAAAAGUCCUUUCCCAUCUGUUCAAAGGCUGUAACAGGGAGAUGGAGCAGGCCUGUGCUGGGAGAAAAAGCUUGAGCACAAAUAUACAGAACUGAAGAAAACCUAUAUAUGAAUGGUAGUGAAGGCAGACUGGUUGGUGCUUACAGAGGGAGCAGGGGGAGGUAUGGUAUAAAAGUAAGCUGCAGUACUCACUUCACAGGACUUUCUGGUGGCUAUGUCUAUGUUUCAGAAGCAGCAGCCAGAUACUGUUGGUCCCUGGCUCAUUUGCACAGUCUAGGGAUGAGUGGAUUGGUGACUCUUCCAGCCCACUUCCUCUUCAGGACCCUUUUUAAAAUCUGUGCCGUUGCUGUCCUGCCCAGUGAAACCCAGCAGAUUCUGUGAAGGGCUGACAACCUAAGGAGAAAGAGGCCAGUUCAGCCUUCCUAUUCAUCAGGGCUGAUUAAUUAAUGACUAGUGCCAUUAGGUGUACUACAGCAGUGCCUGAGGGCCCCAAUUAAAGGAAAGUGAGCUUGUUAAAUCCAGAAAGCCAGAUUCUCCCUCUGUUACUCCUGCCUGAUGCAGAGGUAGUGUCCCCAGGGUGGGCAGCAAGAAUAACCCCGGCUUUCUAGGUAUGCAGCCUCUGUGCCUUUCCCCCUCACUCCUCCCACUUUUCCCUCUCCUUCACCUUAGCUGCAGAUCCUGCCUACAGGGUGCUGCAGAGUGAGGCUAGUGCAGGAGUUGGCUACCAGGACUCGCAGGAGGAGAUGGCAAAUCAGGUUAUUUUUCUGAGCCACUUCAUUUUUCAUCACGAGUGGGUUUGGGUGGUUUUUUUUGGUUUAUUGUUUUUUUUGGUAGGUUUUUUUUUUGGCAGGGUUGGGGGCAGGCAAAGUGAUAAGGACUGCAGAGGAGUCUGUUACAAAAUCAGAUACGAUUUUAGCUGUCUGAAAGAGUUCCUUUAGGCUACAGGCAGCUGAUGAUCAAUGGUGCUGUUGGCAAAUGUGCUUCCAGCUGGCUGCUGCCUCUCUUGAGGGACAGUUUCAACCCAAGGCUCAUUGCAAUCGUGAUACCACAAGGGGCUUUCAUUUACUUUGGGCUAAGGAUCUUCUGCUGCCCAGUUCCACCAGUGCGAAGAAAAGCUGGAGGUGAUGUGGGAGAGUGACAACAGCACUGUUAUUGGUGAGUUAUUGGUUGUUCCAUUCCCCUCAGAUUCCCAUGGUGGGUCUGUGUAAAAGAUUUCGCUCAAAGCCCCGUACUCCUGAACUGUGGGUUUGCUAACAGAUGGGCAGAUUGUGCUAGCAUAGGCUUUGCCUUUCAGGAGGUACUGAAAAAAUAGGUUUAAGUCCUUUAAAUUAUCAGAAACCCAGCCUGUGGCCUGUGGCCUAGCUUUUUAGGCUUUAUUGUUUGUUUUAUUUUGUUUGUUUGCUUAUCUCCAAAGCUGAUAUAAAACAAAGACUGAAACAGCCUCCCGAAGGUCAAGGUGAGACUGACCAUCAUCUGAGUGCUGAUAUUCACCAGCAGCAAUAAAUCCUUGUUCCCAGGUGCUGGAAGUCUCUUCAGCUAGAAAAACAACAUUACUGCAGGGGCAAACAACUAGUCCUGGCCUUUACACAGCCAUUCUUUGGGAAAAAGUAUCGCCUGAAGUCAAUAUGCAUUCUGCCUAGGUAAGGAUUUUGUAUGCUCAGUUUUAUCUGAAACAGGAAUGUUAUUCAAAUAUGAACUCCAGGUUCAUGCUACCAAAAUACGAAGUGCUUGCCUGUGCAUCAUGUUUUGCACCUUCAGGUUUCUUGGCUAUGAUAUCAAUUUAUUAAGGACUGUGAAAAACUUACUAAAUCUCUCAAGCAUCAAAGAUCAAAUCUGCAGGGCACUUUUUUUGCUGUGAAGCAGCCUCAAGAGUGGAUGGGCAGUGUGUCCUUCAAUACCACUUUAAUACCACCAUUUUUUUUUAACACUUUGGAAACUACUGGAUAUUCAAAUUGAUGGAGGGAACAAAAAAACCAAACCUCAGUCAACCAAACUAGACAAAAAAAAAAAAAAAGAGACAUAAGAAAGCAUAAGAAAGAAACAACCACUUAUAUUGAUAGGAGUUGUUUUAAACAGAUUUAUCCCACCUUAAACCAUCUAUUUUGCUUCGGGCACUGUCGGUAAGUUUCCUUUAGGUACAUGAUAUAAUUCUGCCAAAUGCACCUCUUCAAGAGUCAAAUCAUGUGUCUAGUAUAGCGUCUCUCUUUGUCAGAACUUCUAAUAGUAGUAUCUUAAGUACAAGAAGUUUUACAGUACAUUGCCAGUUUGGUGUUUAUGCUUCUUUUAAUGCAUUGUGUUUUCACUGGAUAGUGUAGGAGGUUUUUUCCAUUCCUGUGCUCCCUUGGGGCACUUUCAAUUUUCCAGUCCCCUGGCACAAGCUGCCUUUUGCAAAGGAACAAUUCCUGUAAAGCCAUUGCCUCAUUUUGUUUCCCAUAUUCUAAGAAAUCCUUAAAUUAUGUUGUCAAAUAAAAAAUCCAGAACAUAUUUCGUUGGCAUGGAACAUUGGUCACAUUAGUUUUGCAACGCCUCAUUGAAGGACCCAAUAUGUCAGAAAAUUGUCCUAAGCUUUGUUUUUUAUUGAGGCUUAAUAGGUGCCCUUGUCCCUUUUACUAGAUCUGUGAUGCAAGACUUGGCUUUAUUCUGUUGCCAAGACAUUUCAUUUGAUCUUUUUCACCUUUACUUCUAGUGUCUAUUGAAUGGGAGUAGCACUUUGAGACAUUUGAUGGGUGAAAAAUGCUACAUGAGGAGGUAGGCAUUAUUAAUUAGAACAAUCAUUUUAUCUUUUAGCUUUCAUCAGAAGAAAAAUGCCUGAAUUGAAGUGACAACAACAAAUAAUAGGUGUUGGUGAUUUGCACUCUCUCCACCUAAAUCAGAUAUCUGGCACAUCAAUACUUAGAAGGCUUAGGAGAAGAAGAAAACAUCAAUAUUUCACUGAACACACAAAGUCGCACAACUCCCCACAACUCCCAGUCUCCAUUUUAAUGUCCACCGUGGUUAGUUUGUUUUGGUCUUUUUCUGUCAGAUGACUGAUUUCAGUUUCUCUUUGAAUCCCAUCUGUGUGAAUAGCUUGUUUUCCUCCCUAGCAAGUGUUAACAAGGAACUGCAAGGAUUUUGUUCAGGCUCACCAGUCAGGCAACCCUGAGGUGGCUGACUUCUAGGAAAAGCCACAGCAGGAACAAGCGAGAGCCAGCCUACGCACCAGGCACAGCUUUUGCUGGUCUUUAGUUUAUGUUCCAACUCGUGCUCGUGUUAAAUGAAUCGCCGUUAGCAACUGCAAUACAGACAAACGCAAGGAAGAACAAGCUGGACGCUUUAUCACGGAGCUAUGCUUGGAAGUGAUGGCCCAUUGUAACGCAAACUCACCCACCACAGUGGAGCUGUUCCAGCUCACGGCAAUUUAGGACUCGCUGCGCUCACUUUAGCCCAUGCUCUGAAGUUCCUGAUCUUAUCCUUUAUGUGAACUAGAUCAUGCAAAUGGGGGCACCGGAGUCACAGGGAAGUUGAGUAGAGUUCCGCAUGAGCACUGGUGUGAGAAGGAGCAGCAAUUAGCUCUAAACUCACUCUGCCGGCCUGUCAUUUCCGAGCUCUGACCCUGCUGCUCUGUAACUGGAAGACUUUCGCUCUAGAAGAUGGGGAGAAGAACAUUUUGCUCAUGCUCAUAUUAAUCAAGUCGUCUUAUGAGCUACCGAAUCUGUGAAAUUGUAUCUCCCGUGGAGUUCAGUGGUAAUGACUGUCUCUGAUGUGGACUCUCUGGUGUCUAAUAAUACAGUUUUGUUUCUGCGGUGGAUGCACUCCUAGCAUUUUUUCUCCUCUGUCUGCCUACUUCCACAGCACUUGUAGGCAGUUUAAACCUUUGAAACUUCUAUCCCCUGUCAAGUUUGAUCAAACUCAGCUCACAAGCUCAAAAAAUUAUUUAGGAGGGACCGACUGGCACUUGCACAAGACAGUGUGAUCUCAUAAGCUUCCUUUCCUUGGGAAACUAGGCUACCAACCUAGCAACGGGGGGAAAAAAUGCCAUCCUGCUAGCAAAAAGGACCUAAACACUUGGAGGAAAGAGGAGAGAUGGGAGAGGAAAGUGAAGCUGUUUUGAAGGGAAAAAAAUAACUGCCUUGUGGUUGCAGAGCUCUCAUACACUUAAAGGGCCAACCUUGGAGACACAUGCUGGAGAAAAUGUUCUCCAGGAGAUGAUAAGUUCUCUCAUGAAAAUUGGUAAGGGAGAGAAAUCACCUGGACUCAUCAUACCACCAGGCAUGCUAAAUGGAUAUCUAUAUGGUAAGAAUUGUCCCCAGUGGUACCUGUUUCUCUCUGUGGACUAGAGGAAGCCACAGAUACAACUAGCAUGCAACUCAUGUGCCUGCAGUAUCUAAAACAAGGUGGAUCCUACCCCAAAGGGAAUGGUCUUCUUACCACUCUGUCCUUCAGACCAAAGUUUUCCAUGGUGCUGCUGCAGGUUUUGUUACUUCAUGUACUAGGUUUGUAUGUUAGAAAAGCUGUUGUAUGUCUUAAUAGCUGCAGAUGCAUGCAUGGUUUUACUGGGCAUUUAUUAGCACUUAUCCUCUUUGCACUAAAACCUUUCUUGUUCUUGUACCGUAUGGAAUAAAAUUCUUUAAGUGAGCUUUAAUGAUUCUAUGAUUCUACUUCUUUACAAAUUAGGAGCUGUUAUUCUGCUUUUUUUGCUAUCACAUAAUACUUGAGGCUGUCAAAAGUAUUAUAGUGCAUACUCAUAUAAAUUGAUAUUUAAUUCCAGUAAUUAUAAUGUCACUAAUUGUAUUUUUGCACCUGAUGCAAUUUCUGACAUCCAGCUCUUUAGAUCUACUUUGUUCUUUCUAGAUUUAGGCGUUCCUUACUCUUUAAUCUUCCCUGCCUACGGUAAAUUGUAUGCACAAUGGAACUUGGAAAUAAAAGCUCAGACCUUCCCAUCAAUUGUUGUGUGCCAAAUGCAUGGGAUAGUUUAAAACUAUGUGUGUACUUAGAGUGCAGGAUACACUCAAAAUGCCAUUGCCUAUUUAUAUGUCUUUUUUAUGAGGCUUAGAGUGGGUUGUGUUAUCCAAAUAUUGCACAGUGCUUAACUACUUGUACUGGCCUAUUGCUAAAGGUUUUCCAAUUUUUAGGAGGCUUUUUUUGCUUGUAGCCUUUCACUUAAAAUUACUCCAGGGCUGCUCUGGCAGCCCCUUGCACCUGGUUUCUCAAUACUCUUUUCCUCAUGGCCUUGCACUGGUGCAUUUGUUAUGUUGUAUUCCCUGGGAAAGGGUUUUCUUCCUAUACCUCAGCCAUCCUCUUGUCCUCUUCUCCUCUAUCUCAUUGCAUUGCUGUUGAGUUAUAUAUAAUUCAUAGUCUGCACCGAAGUUCCCACACAGUCUCUACUUGGUGCCUUCAUACCAAUGACUGCAUAUCAGAACAAAUAUUACAUAUAAUGAGUAAAUAGUAAUUUUAAUAUUGGAUAAGCAAUACCUAAUUACAGACAAGUACAAGGCUUAUCAGCCAAUUAACGUGCAACAUUUGUACUUAAUUAAGCAUAAUCCAGUCAGUGCCGGUGUUGUCAUCAGACAAAGAUCACUGAAAGGCAAUUUGAGCAGGCUUUAAUGAAGGGUGUAAUUUUACUAGGGGGUGGUUGUCGGUACAACUGUUAUCCCUUGUUGCACUGGAGCAGACACCCAGGGGAGGAUGGUCACCUGAGGACUCCCGACUUCAUCUCGUCUUGGUUGGCUACAGUUUUCCUUUUAACCUUGAACUUGAUGUAUGCCAUCAGCUACAAAACACAUGAAUAAAGUAUAUGCUUUGUGUCUUUCAA